rnacentral:ncRNA from 1 species
CUAUGACUUAAGUGUCAUGGCGGAAGGAG